rnacentral:rRNA from 13 species
CGCCAGGUUGAUUCUGCCUGGUGGAUGCUAGUCUCAUAGAUUUAGCCAUGCAUGUGUAAGCGAAGCGAUUAGUGGAGCGGCGGAAGGCUCAGUAACGGGCGAGUAUUUAAUCUCCAGAACCGGACAACCUCAGGAAACAGAGGGGAAAACGGAGUAAAAGCAUGUUUUAUGCAUGUGAUGAUAACGAUAGUGCAGGAGAGUAAGAAGCCAUCCCAUCAAUUAGUGAGUAGGGUAAGGGCCUAUUUAGACGAAGACGGGUACGGGGGAUUAGGGUUUGAUUCCGGAGAGGGAGCCUGAGAGACGGCUACCAGGUCCAAGGACAGCAGCAGGCGCGAAAAUUACCGAAGCCUCCAAGAGGGCGGUAGUGAAGAGACGUGAAUUUAAGUGUGUGUAAAAAGCACGCGAGUAACUGGAGGUCAAGGCUGGUGCCAGCAUCCGCGGUAAUACCAGCUCCAGGAGUGUCUAUGAUGAUUGCUGCGAUUAGAAGGUCCGUAGUCGAAGAACAAUACUUGUUUGUAAUGUGGUCUAUCAAGGACCAAAUAGAACGAGAAGAGUUCUGAAUAGGAGCGAAGGAGGGCUAGAUUAUUGAGCAGCGAGAGGUGAAAUUUGAUGACCUGCUUAGGAGUAACAGAGGCGAAAGCGCUAGUCAAGAGCGAAUCCGAUGAUCAAGGACGUAGGCUGGAGGAUCGAAGACGAUUAGAGACCGUAGUAGUUCCAGCAGUAAACGAUGCCAACACUGUUGUGGAGAUUGCACGACAGAAGAGAAAUCUAGUAGGGCUUUGGGGAGAGUACGCGCGCAAGCGAUAAAUUUAAAGGAUAUUGACGGAAGAACACCACAAGGAGUGGAGUGUGCGGCUUAAUUUGACUCAACGCGGGACACCCUACCAUACCCGAUGACCAUGUGAGCGUUGUACGCGAUAGGUCAAAGAGUGGUGCAUGGCCGUUAACGACGAGUGGGGUGACCUUUGGGUUAAGUCCGCGAAGUAGUGAGAUCCCUAGGAUAGCUUAGCUUAUCGACAGGUGUUAAAGACACAGGAAGGAAGGGGCGAGAACAGGUCAGUGAUGCCCUUAGAUGGUAUGGGCUGCACGCGCACUACAGAGGUUGCAACAAGUAUUUACAGUGCCAAUUGCAAUCGAGAGGGAAUGAGCACUGAAAUGUGCACAGGAACGAGGAAUUGCUAGUAAUCGUUGUCUCAUUAAGAAGCGAUGAAUGUGUCCCUGUUCUUUGUACACACCGCCCGUCGUUAUCGAAGAUGGAACCAGGCGCGAACAAGUGCGAGCGAGUGAGUGCAGGGUUCUAAAUCUGAUACAAGUCGUAACAAGGCAGCUGUAGGAGAACCAGCAGCAGNNNNNNNN